GAUGAAGAACGCAGCGAAAUGCGAUAAGUAGUGUGAAUUGCAGAAUUCAGUGAAUCAUCGAAUCUUUGAACGCACAUUGCGCCCUUUGGUAUUCCUUAGGGCAUGCCUGUUCGAGCGUCAUUUAAACCUUCAAGCUCAGCUUGGUGUUGGGUGACUGUCCGCUUCACCGCGGACUCGCCUCAAAAUUAUUGGCGGCCGGUACAUUGGCUUCGAGCCCAGCAGAAACGCGAACUCGGGCCCGUCGUAUUGGCUCCCAGAAGCUAUCUUCACAAUUUUGACCUCGGAUCAGGUAGGGAUACCCGCUGAACUUAAGCAUAUCAAUAAGCGGAGGA
rnacentral:misc_RNA from 1 species